UUUGAUUGAAACUAUGUUGAUGAUGCACUUUAUUUUCAAAUUUUUGACGCUAGUUCAAUGCAAAACCGCGGUUGAACAGUGGUUACAGCAGCCGCGCGACCGUUUUCAGUUUUUUACAUCUUUGGUUUGGACCAUCUAUUAGAGUUGCUCUUUUGGACGGACCAUCAAUAUGAACCAUCUGUUGAAGUUUAGCGUUUUUCGAAGCUCCAAAAUACAUUUUUUGACAGUCCAAAUUUUACAUAUCCAAUUUUGAAUCGCCAAAAUUUAAACCAUCUAUUGAAGAUGUUGUUAAAA
rnacentral:lncRNA from 1 species